rnacentral:rRNA from 1 species
ACGCUGGCGGCAGGCCUAACACAUGCAAGUCGAGCGGUAGAGAGAAGCUUGCUCCUCUUGAGAGCGGCGGACGGGUGAGUAAUGCCUAGGAAUCUGCCUGGUAGUGGGGGAUAACGUCCGGAAACGGACGCUAAUACCGCAUACGUCCUACGGGAGAAAGCAGGGGACCUUCGGGCCUUGCGCUAUCAGAUGAGCCUAGGUCGGAUUAGCUAGUUGGUGGGGUAAUGGCUCACCAAGGCGACGAUCCGUAACUGGUCUGAGAGGAUGAUCAGUCACACUGGAACUGAGACACGGUCCAGACUCCUACGGGAGGCAGCAGUGGGGAAUAUUGGACAAUGGGCGAAAGCCUGAUCCAGCCAUGCCGCGUGUGUGAAGAAGGUCUUCGGAUUGUAAAGCACUUUAAGUUGGGAGGAAGGGCAGUAAAUUAAUACUUUGCUGUUUUGACGUUACCGACAGAAUAAGCACCGGCUAACUCUGUGCCAGCAGCCGCGGUAAUACAGAGGGUGCAAGCGUUAAUCGGAAUUACUGGGCGUAAAGCGCGCGUAGGUGGUUCGUUAAGUUGGAUGUGAAAUCCCCGGGCUCAACCUGGGAACUGCAUUCAAAACUGACGAGCUAGAGUAUGGUAGAGGGUGGUGGAAUUUCCUGUGUAGCGGUGAAAUGCGUAGAUAUAGGAAGGAACACCAGUGGCGAAGGCGACCACCUGGACUGAUACUGACACUGAGGUGCGAAAGCGUGGGGAGCAAAC